rnacentral:tRNA from 1 species
CGUUCGUUAGCUCAGUCGGUAGAGCAGUUGGCUUUUAACCAAUUGGUCGUAGGUUCGAAUCCUACACGACCCACCA